rnacentral:rRNA from 1 species
UACGAAGGGGGGCUAGCGUUGCUCGGAAUCACUGGGCGUAAAGGGCGCGUAGGCGGGAAGGAAAGUCGGGCGUGAAAUCCCUGGGCUCAACCCAGGAACUGCACUCGAAACUUCUUUUCUUGAGUGCCGGAGAGGAAAGCGGAAUACCUGGUGGUAGAGGUGAAAUUCGUAGAUAUCAGGUGGAACACCAGUGGCGAAGGCGGCUU